UACGGAGGAUGCAAGCGUUAUCCGGAUUUAUUGGGUUUAAAGGGUGCGCAGGUUGUUUGAUAAGUCAGUGGUGAAAGUCUGUCGCUUAACGGUAGGAUUGCCAUUGAUACUGUUAGACUUGAAUAUGAAUGAGGUAGGCGGAAUGUGUAGUGUAGCGGUGAAAUGCAUAGAUAUUACACAGAACACCGAUUGCAAAGGCAGCUUACUAAUCCAUCAUUGACGCUGAGGCACGAAAGCGUGGAGAUCAAA
rnacentral:rRNA from 1 species